AACCAUUUAAAGCUUUUAGGUGGAAACUGUGAUUGGUACAAUAAGGGAAGUAGAAUCAUUAUAACAUAGGCAAACGCUUAUAAAUGUUUGCCUUGAGGAGCAUAUAUAUGAGGUUAAAAGAAUAACUGAUCAUGAAGCUCUCCGUCUCUUUAGCUUAUACGCAUUCAAACAAGAUCUUCGCAGUGAAGGAUAUGUGAAGCUAUCAUUAGAGGCAGUAAGAUAAUCUCAAGGCAAUCCGUUGGCCCUUAGAGUUUUAGGCUCUAAUAUGCAUGGUAAAGGCAUAGAAGAAUGGAAAAGCGAGCUAGAAAAAUUAAAAGAAAUUCCUGAUAUCAACAUUCAAAAAGUUUUGAGAAUAAGUUAUGAUAAACGAGAACGUCAUGAAAGAAAUAUAUUUCUUGAUAUUGCAUG
rnacentral:misc_RNA from 1 species